AACACAUGCAAGUCGAGGGGCAGCAUGAACUUAGCUUGCUAAGUUUGAUGGCGACCGGCGCACGGGUGAGUAACACGUAUCCAACCUGCCGAUGACUCGGGGAUAGCCUUUCGAAAGAAAGAUUAAUACCCGAUGGCAUAGUUCUUCCGCAUGGUAGAACUAUUAAAGAAUUUCGGUCAUCGAUGGGGAUGCGUUCCAUUAGGUUGUUGGCGGGGUAACGGCCCACCAAGCCUUCGAUGGAUAGGGGUUCUGAGAGGAAGGUCCCCCACAUUGGAACUGAGACACGGUCCAAACUCCUACGGGAGGCAGCAGUGAGGAAUAUUGGUCAAUGGACGAGAGUCUGAACCAGCCAAGUAGCGUGAAGGAUGACUGCCCUAUGGGUUGUAAACUUCUUUUAUACGGGAAUAAAGUGAGGCACGUGUGCCUUUUUGUAUGUACCGUAUGAAUAAGGAUCGGCUAACUCCGUGCCAGCAGCCGCGGUAAUACGGAGGAUCCGAGCGUUAUCCGGAUUUAUUGGGUUUAAAGGGAGCGUAGGCGGACGCUUAAGUCAGUUGUGAAAGUUUGCGGCUCAACCGUAAAAUUGCAGUUGAUACUGGGUGUCUUGAGUACAGUAGAGGCAGGCGGAAUUCGUGGUGUAGCGGUGAAAUGCUUAGAUAU
rnacentral:rRNA from 1 species